CUUGGAAUCAGCUAACACUACGGUGAGGAAAAUCUUGUCAGUGGUCUCUGCCCACUUCACUUCGGGAUGACGACUGUAAUAAUACAUUAGAAAAACCAAUCAACCAAACAUAUAUACACAUCAAAGACACCAACACAGGAACCCAAUGAAAGCGUAGCUUUUAAAUCCACCGAUGUUAUAGAGAAACAAGACAAACCUAUGAAGAAAAAUGUAAACUUGAG